rnacentral:lncRNA from 1 species
AAAAAAAAAAAAAAAAACUUCAUUGUAGGCAACAUGAACAAUUUUACUAUGAUUUUUUAUUUUUUUUUAACUAUACCUAUCUUAAUGAAAAUAUUUUCUAAUUACUUUAAAUAAUCACCAAGACAUCAUUAUUCUCAUUAUGAAAGUACCAACCCCUCUAGGCCAACAUCAUUGCCUUUCUUUGCACCAAUCUAACUUUCCUCAUAUUUAACUAAUCAUUCAAGUGUUUUACAGAAGUUUUUCUUGUUAAAAAAAAAAAAAAAGAAUACUUCAAUUGAUUAUUGCAAAUCAAUUUGAAGAUCUGUUUGGAUCCUGUAAACAAAAAAAAAGAAAAAAAAAAAAAAAGCCAAUUAUCGACAUCAUCAUAUGAGCCACAUUUCAAAAUUAGAAAAAAUGAAAAGCAAAGAAAAACAGUUUUGGGAAGUAAUCAGAAUUUACGGCUGAGAAGUCGCCACGUCAGCUUUUAAACUCCCCUGCUGACCUUCGUUGAAUAGUCGUCAUUUUCGAACCUUCGAACCAGGCUGUUCAUGCACCGGCGUUGGUCAGCUCUGAUUCUCCAAUCCACUCUGCGAAAUCUCGUCCCUACUCCCAACUCCAUUCAUUUAACAUACACCCCGCUCUCUUUGCCACCCACGUGCCCAAUCGGGGUGUUUCCGUAACACGACCUAAUCAUAAAUCCCCCUUGAAAUACCCGAAACACCCUCAGACCAGUAAACCAACGACCACCUAAUUCUAAUUUUUCCUUUUACAUUCAGCGCUUUUUUCUCUAAAUUAAAAAUUAAAAAAACCCGAAACAAAAAUAAAAAAUAUGAAAAGACAAAAUGAAAAGGGGCUGUGUUGUUUUGCGGAGAAGGAGGACUACUACUAUGUGGUGAGGUGCAGGGAAUGAGGGUGAGGAUUAGUGUGAUUUUGAGAUGAUAUAUAUUUUAGACAACGAGUAUCAUGGGUCUGUGGAUUGAGAUGAUGAGUUGCCAUGUAUGAUUCCAUAGAUUUAACGAGCCCAGAUCUUUCCGUAUAUUUUAUUUCUCUGUAUGAUAUUAACUCUGUACAAUUCCCCAACUCUUGCUAUAUAACCCUCUGUCACUCUCGUUUUAGUUUUUCAGACCGUGUCUCUUUCGCUCUUUCUCUCUAUCUCUUUCUAGUUUCUGACUAAAUUCUUCCUUCAUUCUCCAUUUUUAACGUUUUCUCGCCGUAGAUCUCAUUUUUUGUAUCGGUUUCCGGCGAGAAUCUGAGAUCUGAAUCAGAGGUUUCUCGCCGGCGGAUGUUGAGAGUUUGACCGGGGAGCGAUCUGAGAGUCGGGAGUGGUUGCGAUGGGGCAGUGUUACGGGAAGCCGGUUGUGAAUGGGAACGGUAAAGGAGGUGUGGUCGAGGAGUAUCCGCAAUCGCCGUUGCCGUCGGUGGGGAACGGAGCGGCGAGCGUGCAGUCAGUGAAGACGCCUGCUCGAUCAUCGUCGACGAGCCCCUGGCGGAGUCCCUUCCCGCACGGCAGUGCUUCCAGUCCGCUUCCGGCUGGAGUGGCGCCGUCUCCGGCGAGGUCGUCGACUCCGCGGAGGUUCUUCCGUCGCCCGUUCCCGCCUCCGUCGCCGGCGAAGCAUAUCAAGGCGUCUCUCGCGAAGCGGCUCGGUCCUGCGAAGCCGAAGGAGGGUCCGAUCCCGGAAGAAGGUACGGAACCUGAACAAUUACUUGAUAAGAGCUUCGGCUACGGUAAGAAUUUUGGUGCCAAGUAUGAAUUGGGGAAGGAGGUUGGGCGAGGGCACUUUGGUCAUACCUGCUCUGCUAGGGGCAAGAAAGGAGAGCUAAGAGACCAACCUCUUGCAGUGAAGAUCAUAUCAAAAGCGAAGGUUCGAUAUUAUUACUUUCUUCUGAAUUUGAUGUCUCAUUGAUUUUGAUCAGUUGAAUUGGAUUUACAUUUCUUGUUGCUUUACUCUUAUCGAUACAUCUGGUUAACAUUUCUUGUUGUUUUUCCGUGUAAGGCUGGUUGAAUUGGAAAAUGAUUGAACUUUGCUUGUUUUUUGUCUCUGUUUUUUUUAAGGUGAUAUUGGAUGCGUUGCAUGAUCUGAAACCUAAACCAUGUGCUUAUUCGGCAAUGUGUCCCAAUUCCAACCGGUUUAGGUCAGGUUCAUAUUUAUUUCCAAACAAGAAUGUUGUUUUUUCCCCGAUAAUUUGGAGUAAAGUUAGGAAGUAGCGUCUGCUAGAACGAUCAGAAUAUAUACCAAAUCAAUUUUUCUUAUAAAAAGAAAAUUAUUGCUGAAAUGAAAAAUCUUUGAGCUAAAACUGAAUUGGAAUACCUCAAAUAUUAGUAAUGAUAAAAUAUUUAUUUUUAUGUAUCAUUGUCGAAGAGAGUACAAUGCAGGUUAAUAGUAUGUAUUUAUAGUGAGAGCCCUUUUCUGUAAUUUUUCCACUUCAAUCCAUUGACCUCACUCUCCUCUCUAUGUUAAACAUUUUGGUAGCCAAAUAUGAUAUAUUUAGUUGAUAGUUACUUCCAAAAUUCUCAGUUCUCCCAAGGUUAUUUGAUAUGCAAGGGACAGAGAAAUAGGUGCUUGUCCAGCAGGAAUAUUAGGCAUCUGAUAUGGAGGCCUAAAAAUUUCAAAUGUGAUCUUACCAUGCUCAAGUCGCUAUAUAUCCGUCAUGUAAGUGUUCUUUUUUUUUUUGAAAAAAAAAAAGAUCCAUCAAGCAUGUCAAUGUGAUUGACCAGAGUGUGGGUUAUAAAGUCCAUCCUUUUAUUCUUGUUUCCUAAAUAAACAUAAUUAUUGAUGCUUUGAUCAUUGCACACAUAUUGGACUUGAUAGAGAAAUUCCAGAUCAAUUAUCUUUCAUUUGGCCAUUUCUGUUUCUUGAGUUGUUAACAUUCAAUUAAAUGAAUUCUGAACCAUGCACUGUAAAGAUUUUGGAGCUAAUAAAUGUUUCAGUUAUCUAAUGUCUUUUCUAGACUGCUAUAAAAGCAUGUUGUUAAAGCUUUGCGAGAUCUUCGGCUGGGUUUUUCUUUUAGAUAGUCUUAACAAUAACUAAUCAUGUCCGAAAAUACUGAUGGUAGAAAAACGGUAUUACUGAAAUUCUUGCAUCAAUUUUUGGAAAUGAUGUGAAGAGAGAAGCAGGAGGGAAAGAAAAUUAAGAUGCCAGAUCAUUGCAAAUAUCUGUGGUCCUGGUUGGACUGCAUGUGUAUUUGUCUAACAUCAAAGAAUAAAAGUUAAGGUGAUGUUUUAGCCAUAAUUAGUGAGAAUCAAACCUUCGACUGAAUCAACCACUUCAUGUGCCUUAACCAACGUGCCCUGGGUUUUCACACAAAAAGGGAUUGAAAUCCAUCUACUGUUUCCACACUAGAUAACUAGUCAAUAAAAAUUGUUAUUCGGGUUAUGGGUGAUCAAAAUCUUUUCAUUCUUAGCAAUUUUGUGUAACAAGUGGACCUCAAAAUUUAGAAGCUAUGAACUAUAUUCUUAUUAUUAUGUUUGACAUAUCAACUAUGUAGUUACAGUAUCUUAACAAUCUUAAAUUGACAGAUGACAACAGCAAUAGCAAUUGAAGAUGUUCGUAGAGAGGUAAAGAUAUUGAAGGCUCUAUCAGGGCAUGCGCAUCUAGUCAAAUUUUAUGAUGCAUGUGAAGAUGCAAAUAAUGUGUACAUAAUCAUGGAGUACGUAUUUUCUUGCUUACUAUUUUAAUUUUUGGAGACUGUAGUUCAACAUUGUUAGGACCACUUUGAGUCUAUCUGUUUUGUUAUAAGAUGUGCUAGUAAUCUUCAUCAAAUUUUCCUCAUAUGGAAAUUAUGAUUUCUCAGCACCUUAGAAUCCUAUUCAUGAUAAACCAUUGAUGAAUGUACAGUCAUCGUUCAUUUGUGAAUGUAUUGAAAUAAUAGGUUUUCAUUAUGUUUAACCAUGAAAUAUUCAAAGGUUCAGAUUUUACUGAUGAUUAUAAUAUCAACAAAGUCCUUUACAUGCUUCUGAAUUGGGUCUGAAACAUUUUGUUUUGCUUAUCAGAUUGUGCGAAGGUGGGGAACUACUAGACAGAAUUUUAUCAAGGUAAAAAAUGACCCUUUUUUCAUUCCCCCAGCACCACACACACACCCACCCCCACCCACACACACACACACAUAUUUAGAAGUUAUGAAAUAGUUCUCAUUUGUUGCAGAGGAGGAAGAUACACUGAAGAAGAUGCAAAAGCAAUUGUUGUACAAAUCUUAAGCGUUGUUGCAUUUUGUCAUCUUCAAGGCGUUGUGCACCGUGACUUAAAGCCAGAGGUUUCUUCUUUUGCUUGAUUAAUGUUGAUGAACUGUGACCGACUAUCUUAUUCCCUUUUUGAAAGAAGUGCUGCUUUCUUUCCUUUUACGUUUAAUUCUCUCACCAUAUAGUAAUAAUUACUGAUACUCUUUCCUCCUCGUUGUCGAACAGAAUUUCCUUUUUACCUCAAGAAGUGAAGAUGCUGAUAUGAAGCUUAUUGAUUUUGGUCUUUCUGACUUUAUUAGACCAGGUAAUGUUUAACUAUACUCAAUUUUUGAUCUAUAAUUUGUCCACUAUUUAACAAAAUUCUUAUCCUUUAUAAAUAACUAUACUUGAUGAAUUUAGAUAAUGGCCUUGUAUAUCCAUGUAUCAUGAAACUUUAAGGUCAUUUCGGGUGUGAUGAAGCUGGGCUAUGGUUAUAUUUGACAAAAAAGCACUUUAUAAUUUAGUAAAAGGCCCUUGCUUGUACUAGUGCAAAUAAGUAAUUGAAACAUACUCCGAAAGUUAUCAGUUCUUCAUCAUACCUUACUGUUUUUGUAGUACAUGUAAGCUUUUCUUCAGGAAGUUUCCUUUGGGCAUUCUUCUUAAGGCAAGUUAUUACAGACUUACAGUUACACUAUCCCUCCAAUUACUGGCAAUCCUAAUUAAGUUCUGGAUGAUGCAUUCUGCAUGCCAAUGAUUGAUCUCAACAAGUUAAUAACUUCCACUAAAGCUAGCUUGUCUCUUUAUCAACUUUGGUUCUAAUUAUCAAUUCAUGCAUGUGCACCAUCUCCAAAAGCUUAUUGGAGUCAUAACUUGGGUUUGUUUAGUUAGACUCAGAUCGUUAAGGAGACAAGCAUGGGGUCUAAGGUUGAGCAUGUUUUGUUUGAUUGCACCUGAACAAACCUCAUGUCAAGCUGAGUAUAAUGUAUCUGUGUGUUAAUUUUUUUGCUCUUCUUUCUAGCUUAUUUUAGGAUUUUUUUCCAAAAAAAAAAAAGAAUAAUAUUAAAAUCUGUGAAGUGUAGCUAAAUUUUGGGCUUCUUGUUUGUCACAAUUAACUUUUGCAGAACUUGUAGCAGGUUCAUGAUUUUUCCAACAACAAAUUUGUCAUAUCUUCUAUUUUACUAUUCUAUUUUGUCCUACCUGCUUAGGGAAUUGUUUAUUUAUUUAUUUGUCUAUCUCUUAGGGUAAGAUAGGGUGUAAAUGUUGACUGUAAGCAAAAAUUCUUUUGUAUAAAUGAGAAUUCUGUAGAUGACCAUGUUUAGAUGGUUCUCAGAUGUUCAAGAGUAGUUCAUUGCAAAAUGCUAUGUGUAUUCAAAUCUGAAAAGAAUUCUAUAAUUUUCAGCAUUCCAUGCAUAACAGUCAUAACUCAUUUUGCAGCCAGUCUGCCAGUAUUCAUUUCAUAACUUAGCUUGUUACCUAUUUCCCUCUCAAGUCAAAAUGGAAAUUUUCUUACCCGUUUGUUUUUCCCCCUUCCAAAUAUGCAUAUAUGCAGAUGAAAGACUCAAUGAUAUUGUUGGAAGUGCAUACUAUGUUGCACCUGAAGUUCUCCAUAGAUCCUAUUAUCUGGAAGCAGAUAUUUGGAGUGUUGGCGUUAUUACAUAUAUCUUGUUAUGUGGAAGCAGGCCUUUCUGGGCAAGGACAGAAUCAGGAAUUUUUCGUGCAGUAUUAAGAGCUGAUCCUAAUUUUGAUGAUUUACCCUGGCCUACAGUCUCAGCUGAAGCCAAGGAUUUUGUUAAAAGGCUAUUGAAUAAGGACUACAGGAAGAGAAUGACUGCCGUCCAAGCUCUGAGUAAGCACUAUUUCCUGUCAUUUCUGUGAAUGUGUUCCGGAUAUUAGCUGGAUGAUAAUUUUUUAAAUGCACUGCUGCUUUUCCUUUUUAUGGUUCUUUGUUAUGAGAAAAGCAACCAAGUUUAGCGGAAUGAAUGUCAUGGACCAGUAAUGGUUUUGUGAGUGAAAUGAUUUUGAUUGAUGGAGUUUUGUGAGGAAAGAUCUAUUUUGAAUGUGUUUAGAUGCUACUGCUGUCUUGUGAGUGUAAUGGUCAAAGAGCCGCUUGAAAUACUUAAGUGGCCAUUGAAGAUGGAAGCAUCUCUAGCAGUAGGCGCUCCCUUUUAGGUGGUUGAAUGUUUGGACUAUGAGAAAUUUGGUUUGAGUAUUAGCUAUUACUGACAUUACAUUGUGUAUGUUAUCACCAAUCAGAUUUCCCUUUUAGACGCCAUUAAUUAAUUUGACUAAUGAGGACAAUUCUUUAAUUGCAGCUCACCCCUGGUUGCGGGAUGGAAGUCAUCCUAUCCCUCUGGAUAUAUUGAUCUAUAAGUUGGUCAAAUCUUAUCUUCUUGCUACACCUUUUAAACGUGCUGCACUAAAGGUAUUGCCCUUGUAAUAUUUCACAUCACUCAAUGCCAUUCCUAUUAUUUCUUUGUCUGGAUGAACUUUUAGAACUUUGUAGACAUAGACGUAUCUUUAUACCUUUAGUUAUAUUUGUUUCUGGUUCUGGUGCAUUCCAUAGAGAAACUUUUAUGAACAACUAUCAGAUUUAUUUGUGAAAAGCUUCAAUCAUAUCUGAUCAGAAAAUAGGACUUGUGUGAAAACUGAAACAUGAAUAUUUAAAGAUUGAGGAUUGUAUUUCAAUAUGUUUUCAACAAUUGAUUUAGCUAUUUUUCUCAUGUUUUCAGGCUCUCUCAAAAGCUUUGACGGAGGAUGAGCUGGUGUACCUUAGAUCUCAAUUCAAGCUGUUGGAACCUGGUAGAGAUGGGAGUGUGUCUUUGGAUAGCUUCAAAAUGGUUAUUUACUGUUUCUUUUCUUUUAAUUUGAGCUUUCAUCCAAUUGUUCAUUUAUGAUUUGAGUAUCCCAUCAUUCAUUCUAUUUUCAGGCAUGACAUGGUCAUUUAGUUAAAGAACUAGUAUAGUUUCCUUUGUUGGGGUCUUUUUUUUCCUGUCUAUAUAAUAUCAAGUUUAUGGCUUACAGAAGUUAAAAAAAAAUUGUAGGCCCUUGCACGGAAUGCAACUGAUGCCAUGAAGGAAUCUAGGGUUCCUGAUAUUCUAAAUGCGGUACGACAUCUGAUAUUUUUUUCUGCUAGAAAUGUCAUAUUAACUGCUAUCAUUCUGGACUUCAUCAUGGAAGAGCUAGUUUUGAUAUUAGGAUCUAAGUUUACCAGGAUACAUUUUAAAUGAGAUCACUAGUUCUCAUCAAAUCAACAACUGCAAUUGCUUCACAUAUGAUUCUUUUAUCUCAGCCUUAAUUAUUUAAGCUAAUCAAUUCUAUAAUCUCAGGUCUUUUUCCAGUAAGUUGAAAAUGAAAUCAAUUUUAAACUUCUUAUCAGUUAGCAGUCAACUCUCUCGUCAUUGCUUGCAUUGAACUUAAUUCUAUUUGAUACAAGUUCCUUUUAUCUUUCUUUCUGCCUCUUAUAUUUUCUGUUGUUUUGUGUGCCUAUUUUCAUGUCCAUUGACUCUGUCAUCAGUCCUCAAAAUUGUUGCAUUGAUGUUAUUUCAGUUGGAACCAUUGUGCUAUAGAAGGAUGGACUUUGAAGAGUUUUGUGCUGCAGCUAUUAGCACACAUCAACUGGAGGCUUUGGAAGGGUGGGAGCAGAUCGCCUCUACCGCUUUUGAAAUUUUCGAGCAGGAGGGGAAUCGUGUCAUCUCAGUUGAGGAGUUGGCUCGGGUAUUUACAAUUACUCCUUCAAGAAACAAUUCAUACGCUUGUUUUAGCAUGUAUGGCUUCUUACUUCUGCGAUCCAUUAAUGCAGGAACUGAAUCUGGGUCCUUCAGCUUAUUCGGUCCUGAAAGAGUGGAUCAGAAACUCAGACGGAAAGCUCAGUUUACUUGGAUAUACCAAAUUUUUGCAUGGUGUAACUCAUCGAAGCUCAAACACCAGACAGCAUUAGUUUUUAGGCUUUGAGAUUUGAUUCCUUAAAAAUUCAUGACAUUCAGAAGAUUUGCAGGAAUAUUUUUUCUUCUUUGGGGGUUGGGGUAAAGGAAAAUUGUGUAUACAUGGAUGUUAGUCAAGCCAGAUGUGAUCUUGUUGAGGCGAAUUAAGUCAGAAGGAUCUCUUUGCUCGUUCCCUGCUUUGGCAAAUCUUAUAUUUAUGUGGGUUUGAGCUCAUAGUAUGAUUGUUUUAAUCAUUUCAAGAAAGACAGAAAAGAAUUAACAAUUGUUUCCAUAAUCGCUUACUGAUCUCUAUUAACAACUCCUAGUAUUCAUUGCUUAUAAAAUGAAAAAUAUCAUUGUCAUUCAGAUACCAACGACCAUUAGCAGAAUCCCAAACGAUGAAGGUGGAGAAGAAAUCCCCAAAGAUUCUAUCCAGCAUGGAAGCCAGAAGAAGGUUGGGACACUGCUCCCUGUUGGGUCUCUUGCUCAUGCCUGCAGGUAACUCUCUUUUUGUAAAUCUUGUUUCUGAAACUCUACUGAAAAGCAAUGUUUCCAUGACAGAGAAGGCUUCACCUUCUCUGCAGAUUGCAAAAAAGUGGAAUAACAUCUUCCUAUGAGUUUUUUAUACUGUUAAAUUGAAAGUAAAUCAUUUAGAUAUUUGGUUGAUAUGUUGGGUUCAACUUGAACCCAGAACCAUUGGAAAUGAAUAAAGGAAUAAACUCCCACAGUUAAAUUUACAUUUGGUUAUAUAUUUGGACAAAGACUUACCGUUAAUAAAGUUGUGAUUUGGAUUGAAUUGACUUGUCAUAUUAGAUAUGCCCAUGAUGAUUGCUUUAUCCCUAACAUGGAACCCUGUAUGUAUGUAGCUAUCUCCUGGGUCAUUUCUUCUUGUUUCAUCAUUUCAAGCCUUGACAAAAGACCAUGAAUAGCGUGUCUUGCUUUUGUUACUCCACUUAAUUAUUUCUUGGUCUGUCUACAUAUUCCACAAUUAUUUUUUUGAAUUAUCUGUCAUGCAUGGUGGCCUUUGGACCAUAAACCAAAUGCCCAAAUACAUUGUAACCCACAUCCCCCACAUUUGCCACUCAUUGGUUUAAGUUUGGUGUCUGGUGACUAAAAUUACACUUCCACUAAGUGGGUCUGUCAAAAUUGAAUAACUAGAAAUAAUGUUUCAGCAUGCAUGUUGUCUUCUAGAAAAAGCACUUGAAAGUUAUGUUUAUUUUGUACAAGCUUUCCGAUUUCUUCUUUUGAUAUGGUUGAUUAUGUUUUUGUUUGGCAGGUCAACGGGGUGAGAUAGGAUUUUAAAAUCUUAUCAUGCAAACAGACCAAAAGGGUAUGGAUAAGUUAUCCAGCUAAGAUUUCUAAUUCUGACAAACUAGAAUAUCCUAGCCCUAUAAGGUUUUAUUUUUUAGACACUAUUAAAAUGGGCCCUUUUGCAGACAGUAAUACUAAUGCCCCAAGUUCUACAAGUAGUUAGUUACAUGUGACAAAAUUGACUGAGUUGGGAACCGGGUCGCACCAAUUCAUCCAAAGUCAAGUGGGGUUGAAGUUGGGAGAAGAACCCCUCAACUACCACACUAAUCAUGAUGGAGGAGGAGACACAUGAAUGAACAUCUGCACACUUCCAGCAUUUUUAAGUGGAAGGAAGCCAUCAGGAUCUCACCUUUUUAAGUGGCAGCCAAAUUAAAAAAACACACCCCAAAAUUGCAGCACAAAAAACUUUGAAAAGUUGGAUGACUCUCACCCAAUUGUCCCCUCUUUUUGCAUAGUUUAUUUUGCUUUCUUUUCUCAACAAACAAACACCAGGCAAAUUAGAUCUUCACGUAACAAAAAGGGCCCGGAGGCUUUCACAAACACCCCAUGUUUCAACAACUCUUCUGUAGUGGGGUAGUGCUCCAUGCACCAUUUAUUUUUAAAAAAAUUAAUAACGAAUUAUCAAGCAUGUGAUUAUAAUUUAUUUUUUUUAUAAAAAAAAUCAUCUUUAUCGAUUCAAUGAUGAACAUUUCGGUUGACUUUUUCAUUGACCAGUCCUAAAUCAAAAUCAUAGCAUUCUCCUUUUUAUUGUAGUGUGUAACAUAUAUUUAUAUAAAAAAAGCACAAUUCCAUUAUUGGGUUACAUUUCAGUAUUUUUCUUUAAUUUAAUUUAAUUAGUUGACUUAAGAAUUGGACCCAUGAAUGAAGUUCUAUGAUGGAAACUGGUGGCAGCCCUAUUUGGACUUCAACUUCCCUAGAAAAAACCGAGAACCUCGCUGAAUGAAUCUCAUGAAAAUAAAAGAGCACAAUUAUCUUAUUAUUUUUCUGGCAAACCAUAUAAAAUCAUGUACAAUCUCACUCUUGUGAAUAAUCUAAAUGAAAGUCAAUCCAACACUUGGGUUUCAAAAAUAUAAAAAAAGUAGCUGAUGACUGAUUGGUGCCAAAUCACUUAUCAAUAUCCCUGUAACAACAUGAAUUUCAUUGUUAAUUUUCUUGGUCAACUAUGGAUGGCAGAAGGAACGAUUAGUGAUGUUUGUGAUGGUGAGAUUGAAUAUUCAUUAUUAUUUUUUAUAUUAUUUGUAAGAGAAUAUUAGUUGCUUUGAAAUGGUUGAGAUAGUUCUCAGGUCAGCAAUAAAAGGGAUAGACCAUUAACCAAGGGAGAAAAAACCAAUGUUGACAUUAAGAAUAUUAAUCAUAUAUUUUUUUUACUAAACUAAUAAAAUGAGAGUUGAGACCAGAGAAAAUUAUAAGGUACUGAUUCAAUAUCAUAUCGAAUUUUAAAUCUCAAUUUUUUAUUUUGUUGUUAAACUUGGAGUAUUGAAUAAAGGUACGAAUAAAUAAGAUUAGAUUAAAAGAAAUGAGACAUUUCUUAUAUCAUGAUAUUUUGUAUUAAUUAGUACUUUUGGACUAGUAGAAGUCUAGAAGAGUCCUUGAAAUUGAGAAAUCAAAAUUUUAAUUUACAAAAAUGCACUUAAUAAUUUAAAGUGAUUUAAUAACUUAAUUUACGUCAUUAAGUAAAUUAAAUAUAUUUGGUAAAAUAAUUUAAUAGUUUGAUUUAAAGUAAAAAAUAAUUUUAAGUAAUAAAUAAAAAUAAUUAACUUAUUCUUGAAUCAAUAUCUUUUUUAUCCUGAUUUCUCUUAAUUAUCUUCAUAAUUUCUUUUGCUAUUAUAGAACUUUCAUUGUUAUUCAACCUCAUUUACCUUAUUUAUAAAUAUGAGAAUUAAUGAUUUAAAAUAAAUUUUAAUCUAAUUUUAUUAAACAAAUUUAAUACUUAAAGUAAUAUUUAAAUGAUAAAUUUUAAGUCAUUAAUUUAAGUAUAAUUUAACGUAAAUUGUUAAGUGAUAAGUUUUAUCACAUAGCCCCAAAUUUAGUAACUUGAAUUAAAAUUUUAACAUUAUCAAUAUUUUUUGGAAUCUAAACCUUUCCUUAUAUUAAUUUUAGGAAAACAAAAAAAAAGCAAAUCAUGAAAAUAACAACUACUUUGUGAUUAAUUUUUUUUGGAAAAUUAAACACUUUCAAGAAAGUGAAUCCUGAAGAUAAUUUUUAUUUUCUUAAUUAAGUCAUUUUUUUUUACUUGAAAUAAUUACCAUAAAAACUCUGUGGCAGGAAAAUUCAACUUUAACAAGGAAUAUUCUUGAUAUUCCAAUUUUGAUUUAAAAAAUUAUGGAUCACAAACACUAAAAGAAGAAUAAUUGUUCCUACAGCUUUCUUCUAUGCCUGCAAAUUUAAUAACUUGCCAAUGAGAGAAUGUAAGAAAUAAUAAAAUCAAAAUCAUAUAAAGAUUUCAUACAGUCAUUCAAAAUAUCUUUUACAUGAUUCUACUCAAUAUUACAGCUAGAAAUUUCCUUCUCUAGAGUUUAUCUCCAUGCAUGCAUGGAAAGCUGAAUAAAAACAUAUCACAAUUCCAUAGUUUUCCAUCUAUGGGUUUAGGGUUUCAAAUCCUUCAUUAUUGUAUAUAAUUAAUGAGAAUUAAUGAGAUUCUUACCGGCCAAACAACUCCAAGGAAGAUGGCCAAGUCUCUCUUUAUUUGCUCUAUCCUUCUCCUUCUUAAUUCUUUCCUUUCUUUCCGAUCUUCUGCAACAAACCUAGCAUAUUCCACGCCCUUUGAUCGUUGGUUUUUCAAGGUCUUUGGGGACGAAAACAUAAAAUCUGUACACAAUGGCACAGUGGCGAAGAUCAGUCUGGAUCAGAAAACUGGUUCUGAGUUUGUCUCUUCAGAUAUUUUCCUCCAUGGAUACUUCAGUGCCUCCAUUAAACUACCAAGAAACCAGGACACUGCAGGAGUUGUGGUUGCGUUUUUUACCAUGAAUCAAGACAUAUACAGCAGGAACCAGGACGAAGCGACCUUCGAGUUCCUGGGAAACGUCAAAGGCAAAGAGUGGGUGGUUCAGACCAAUAUUCAUGGCAAUACAACCAUCAGAAACAGCACCAGUAAAGGAAGAGAAGAGCGCUACACCCUCUGGUUCGACCCAUCCGCAGAUUUUCACAAGUACAGUAUCCUCUGGACUGAAAACCAUAUCAUAUUUUACGUUGAUGAUGUCCCCAUAAGGUUGUUCAUGAGGACAAAAGCCAUAGGAAACUACUUCAUCACUAGUCCAAUGUAUGUGUAUGGCUCAAUACGGGACGGGUCAGACUGGGCCACUGAUGGAGGAAAACAGAAAGUGGAUUACAAGUAUGCUCCAUUCACUGCUGCAUUUUCUGAGUUAAUUUUACUGGGAUGUCCAGCUGACCCAAUUGAUCUCAAACCCUAUUGCAUUGACGAGGACCCAUGGGAGAAGAAGGUUCCUACUGGUUUGACAAGAAAGGAAAUCACCCAGAUGAGGAGGUUCAGGCACAAGUUCAUGACAUAUUCUUAUUGCUUUGAUAAGGAAAGGUACCCAGUUACUCCACCAGAGUGUUUUGUUGAUGGCCGUGAAAUGGAGCCGCCUCAAAAUUUCGACCCUGUUGUGUUUGGUGGAGACCCAGUUGAGAAGUGAAGAAGGGAUUUCUACUGAGUUUUUUCUAGGGUUUUUAGGUUGAUAUUUGUUUAGGGCCUUGUGAUUAGUAAAAGCAUAUAGUUAGGAAGUUUAUUAGUAAUAACAUUCUACAUUGUUUUAAGGAAAUUUAUAACAUUGAUAUUUGAUCAUGUGUUUGAUAAGAUUUGAAUGCAAUUAAGUAUCAUUGUAUUACUUUGAUUUUCAUAUGAUAAUAUGAAGAGUUAAUGUAGAAACUCUUCAACUUGAUUUUUUCUUUGCAGAUUGUUAAUUAUUGUAUUUAUGCAUGCUAUCAAGAAGAGGGGAAGCCAAUGUGAUUAAGGGUUCGGUCUAUGAUUUUAAAGAAGGGUUGAAGAAAGAUACGAUGGAAAGGAUUAUUUUAUCAAAUAUAAGGUAGGAUGAUGCAUGCAAAAGAAAAUUAAUAAAAUUAAUAUAUGGAUGAAAUGAAAAUUAAUCAAAAUUCAUAAAAUAUUAGAAAAAAAUAUAAAUAUAUGAUAAUAUAAGUAUAUUGAAUUUGUUUUAUUAAUGAAAAUAAUAUUUAUGUAUAAUAAAAUUUAUAACAUUAAGAUAAUACUCUAUAUGCAUUCAAAGAUAUAAAAUAAAUGAUAAUAUAUUGAUAUAAUUAUCUUAUUUAAAAAUUUAAAUUUUGGGUUGGAUCAAAUUUGAAAAUAAGAUAAUUUAUUUUAAAUUUUGUGUAUUAUAAAACUGAUACAAUUACUAACAAAAUACCAUAUUUAGAAGUAUAUUUAGAGUGCGUUUGGGAGUGAUUAUAGAAAGCGUUGCUAACAUUUUAAACAUAGGGUUUGGCAUCACUAUCAAAUACUGGGAUCACUAUCAAAUGAUAAAAAAUUUCAAAUAUUAAAAAUGCUUCUUAAAAUUACUAUCAAACGGGCUCUUACUUUGCAAUUUUGAUAAAAAUAGAAUUGUGAUAUUGAGAUCUUGGGUAGAGAGGCAGACCCAUGUGACAGUCUAACAAUGGAAUUGUGAUAUUGAGACCUUGGGUAGAGAGGCAAAUUUAGGAUAUAUUGAGAUAUUGGGUAGAGGCAAAUUUAGAAGAUAAUAAAAAAAAAUUCCAAAAACCAUUGUUAAAUCAUUAGGAAUAUUUGUUUCAAAAGUGCCCCUCAUUUCUUAUUAUAUACUUUUAAGGCCACUUUUUUUCAAUUAUUAUGAAUUCAUUAAAAUGGUAAUAAUAAUUGAUAUAGUAGAAAUGAGAUUUAAGAUCAGAGCGAUGAUUCCAUUCCAUGUACAAUUAAAAUUAUUUUUGGAGAAUAACUCAAACCUACCAAGAAUGAUAAAAAUAAGAAAAAGCAAGAAAGAAAGAAAACAACUUCACAAGGUAAAAAUUAAUUUCAAAAUCUCUUUAAAAUGUUUACAAAUCAAUCAAACAGAUACUUAUUUACUUUGGAUUAUUAUCUCAGACUUUUGUCACUUUUCUUUCCUUAACUCUCUCAAUCAAUGUGUGGCUGCUGACAAAAAUAUCCCCAUCCCUUCCUCUUUCAUCACAUGCCAAACAACCAAAGAAAAUAAUAGGAAAAUCCGAAUAAAAAUUCCUAUUUUAAAUGAAGAUAUGAAUGAAUAAGAUUUAAAAAUAUAUGUGUGAAAAAAAUAGACUCCAACCCAAAAUAAUAAUGAGCUUUCGUAUGUGAAAAUGAGUUAGUAGUUUGGUCAUUGGUGUGGAAAGAGGACCUAAUAAAUAUGUUUUCUGCAGGUUGGAACUGCCCUCCGUUUGAGGCAUCGGUUGAGGGCCUAGGUGCCCUAAAAUCAAGGGUCACAGCAGAAGAAGUUGUCAUACGUGGGGGUCACCCACCACUGACAGUUUUGACUCUCCAAACCCUGUGUCCCCUCAUCAACGACCCUUAACUUAAUGCCUUUCCUAAUCCUAACACUCCCAACAACCCCAUUAAUACUGGGCUUUCUUCACUUCAAAAUCAAAAGAUUCAAAACGUUUUACGAAAGCCUCUUUGGUUUUUUGAAUUACCCAUCACCAAAUUUAGAGGAUUAAAGCAGCCCCUUCGGCCCCUCCACCCACUACUACAUAAAGAGAUAAAGAAAAAGCAAAGGAUAACGCCAAAAAAAAAGAGAGGAAGAAAAGCAUUUAAUUCUCUUCAUUAUGGUUGCUAACAAAAUAACAAAGAACACUACAAACGCAAGCAUCGUUUGGUCGUCGUCAUUAUCUUGAUCACCAUUGAUUCAUUGACUGAUCACUUCCUAACUGAAACGAAAGGACUGCAACUCAGAAAUUUACAUGCUUUCAAACUCUAAAACAGCCACCAUGGUGGUGGUGGUGGUUAUGGUUCUGAGGGUGAAGAGAGUGUUCUCUGUCGAUCAUGCCUUGAACGUAUCGGAACUCCUCGACAUGACAGGGAAUGGUGAUUGCCCCUUGCUGCUCAAACCCAUAUUCCUCUUCGGCUUCCUUAAGCAACUGCAUGAAGAGAGGGUGAUUGAAGUAUAUUACUGGGACUAUGAAUCUCUGUUGCUCUUCUCCUUGCCCUACCUUGAUAGCCAAACACCCCUUUGGAACAUCCCUGUACUGCUUUUUCCCAUGAAGGUGAGGGAGAUGCAGAUGGAAGUUCAGAAGACCCUUUUCUCCGCUACCCAUCUCUGCAAAACCUAAAACUGCAACAAGAAGUCAACAACAGACGCACAAAACCCUAAACCCUUAACUUUCUCUGCUGUUUUCCAGAGAAAAUUUUACAAGAGAUAAGAAGCUCAGAAACCCUGGAAGCUUGGUCAUGGUUGAUCAACUCCUCCCACACACACAACCAACACAUGUAAGAACCAGAAAAAAGACUAGAUAUAGAGAGAGAGAAUUCAAGGAAAAAAAAAUGAAAAAGAAAAAGAUAAAAAUUAAAAAAAUUGAAAAAGCCCAAGAAAAUCCAACAGAACUGGCGGGUUUUUAUAAGGUGUAUCGCUAGGGCGCUCCCGAUUUGUACACGUAAAGUGUCGGGCAGAGCACGUGGACGGUCACUGGUGCCUGGUGGGACACGUGGCGCAUCUUGGGGACGUGAAUCAUGAGAUCGCCGACAGUGAUGUGUCAUCUAGAGGUGGACAUUUGGGUGGACAGCCAAUAGCAGGUCUGGAACAUGUCCAAGUGGACAUCAACAUGCCACGUCAGCGUGUGGGGGGCCAUGACGACAGUGAUCUUUGGUCUCUGACCUUGGAUGAUUGAAACCACGGUGGGGUCCUUUGGGUGGACGUACACUACACGAGUAGAAUAUAUGUACCCCACAUGCGGCAGAAUAAAAUCGGGGUAGUGAAAUGACAAAAUUGUCCUCCUCCUAUGAGUUAAAUCCCAGCUCUGGGUCCCAAAAUCUUGUACCCCGGAUACGGUGUUGGAUUUUACGGACCGGCAACGGCUUCCUCCUUAACGGGACUAUAGACGAAGGGGUUUCCAUACUCUACGGUGUCAUCCACCAAAAGAAAUGGUAGACCCUCGAGAAUACCCGACCAUCCAAUUUAACGGCUAUGAUCAAGGCUAAAUCAUAUCCUUUUGGUGAUAAUGCAAAGAUGGUUAAUCAUGGACAAAAAGGAAAAAAAUAAAAUAAAAUAUAUUGACCAAAAUCUCAACUAAAAUAUCAGAAUUAUUGGUAAGAUUGCGUUUGGUUUAAACAUAUUUUCUAAGUGGAUUAAUUCUCUUCCAUAUAAUAUAUUUUUUAAACAACCAUAACUAAGGAAAGACAAUAUAAUUGGAAAUGAAUAAACAAACCAAAAUUUUACAUGUAUUAAUCAUUUUGGGUUCUCAGAAAAUUAGUGGAAAAACGUGAGAGAAAUAAAAUAAAGAAAAAAUGUGGGAAAAAAAAAAAACAGAUCCAAAAUCAAUAAAUUAUUUUUACAUCUUUUUUCAAAUUCAUUUCAUUUGUUUUAUAUUAUCUAAACAUUAAAUAAUUUUAAAAUACAUAAUUUUUAUUAAUUUUUUUUUAAUUCCUUAAUAUUUUUUAGGAAUCAAAUAUAAAAUAACUAUUAUUAGAUAUUUAAUUUAAAUAUGUGUAAUUAUUUAAAAUAAAAUAAAAAAACAAAAAAGAAAAUUAUUCUAUUCUAAACUAAUAUAGCACUUUUUAAAAUAUGAUAUAUGCCAAAUAAGUGAAAUUAUUAGAGUAAUUAAGUAAAAUAUUAUAUGAUAAUUAGGAUUAAGGGAUUAAUAUGAUCAAUUUUCUUUGUUCCUUCAUUUCUCUCACAUACCCUUCCCCAAACAAUCUUCCUAAUCUUUAUUGAAAGUUAAAUAAGGUAAGAUGAGACUCAUAUCUCACAAAUCUCCCAUCAUUAGAAAAUUUCUAAUGGAAUAUCUCCAUGAUUUAAUUCCAAAUUCCCAUUUUGAAUUCUUGAGUUAUUAAGAACCAUUGCCAAACAAUACCCACUAAGUAUUGCCUACCCUUUGCUCUUUUUUUUUUUUUUAAAAAAAAAAGAAGAAGUGAAAAUAUAGAAUUAAAUAGAGUUAGAUGGUGGGGGAAAAGAUGCAAAGUCAAGAGGAGUGGAGAAGCCAUCCAAAGUGGGAUUAGUGAGUGUGGGCUUUUUGGAGGAAAGCAAAAGCUUUGUAAAGAUGUUUUGACAUGUUGAUAUUCUCCAUUGGUAAUUGGAGGUGGGCUUUACCUUUGAAUGUUUAUUAUAUUAUAUGGUGAAAAACAUUUGACUUCAAUUAAAUUAGAGAAUAUUUUUCAUUAAAGUCAAGGACAUGAAGCACUUAUGUAUUUUCACAACAUAGAAUUUUCCACUCCACUUGUUGGGGGGUUUUGUCUUGUUUGGAAAGCUUCAUUUUUAGAGGAAUUGCCAUUACCUUUCAAUAAAUAAUAAUAAUAAUAAUAAUAAUAAUAAAAGAAGGAAAAUUCAAUGUGCUUGACAAAAAUUAUUUGAAAUUUAAAUUAAAUUUUAAUUUUCCUUUUUCUUUCUUUGUCCAUUUACUAUGUAACUCCAAAUUUGAACUUGAAUUUCCAAUAUUGGAAAAAUAUAAAUAAUCGGGGAAUGUGAAAAAAUUAGAACAUGUUUAAUAACUGUUUUUUAGAACAAUUCUCUGUUUUCUAAAAAUAAGAAAACACAUUUGGUAAUAAAAAAUUCUUUUAUGUUUUCUAUUUUUAAGAACAAAAAAAUAGAAUGUUUUUUUAUAAUAUCUUUAAGUUUUUUCUAUUAUUUUCACUUGUUUUAUAAAAGUUAUUUUUAAAAAAAUCAUUUAUACAAACAUGUAGUAUGAUUAAAAAUAAAACAAUAAACAUAAAAAUUAUUUUGAAAACAUAUUUAAAAAUAUUAAAAAUAUUUUAAAUUUUUAAACAAAUUUUUAUUUUACAUAAAAUUAAAGAACAGUUUUCAAAAACUGUUCUUAAAAACUAUAAUUCAAAAUAGUUUUUAAAAACAAUUAUCAAAUAUACCCUUAAUUUAUUGUCCUCUUUUAUCGUAAUUGCAUCAGAAGUAAAUAUGAGAAGUUAGUAAUUUUGCUUGAAAUUAUUUGGUAUAUGAUUGUAGGUUUCUUACAUUAACAACUGCAUGUGGAUCAAUUAUUGCAGGUUAUAUAUUGAACUUAUGAAGGUACAAUCAAUAAUACAGUGUCACAUGUGUUGGGACAUAUUAUCAUGUGUUUUAAGACAAUUCUGUACUAAUAUGAGACUUGAUGUAUGUUACGUCUGGGCUCGUGUAUGAAUAUGUUUCUACUCUCUCUCUCUUUCUCAUUUCUCUUGAUGUGAUUUAAGACAAUUCUGUACUAAUAUGAGACUUGAUGUAUGUUACCUGUGGGCUCUUGUGUAUGAAUCUCUCUCUCUCUCUCAUGGGUUUUUACUAAUUUAAAUUUUAAGUUCAAAAUACAUUUAAACUUUUCAACCCAAAUAAAUAUAUUGAAAAAUUAAUUUAAUCAAAGUCUCAUAAUGAUAAAUUACUUUAAUAUAAUCCACAAAAUAUAUAUAAUAAUAAAUAUUUAAAAACUCUUAAAAUAUUGAAAAAUUAUAAAUCACAAAAGAGAUAUCCGUUUGGUUUGAUUUUUAUCAAUUAUGAGAUAAGGAAAUUGAAUUGAUAAAAUCGAUUUUUGAAAUUCUCAAACCCCAUAAACUUUUUAUUGAUGUUGAAAAUCGAAUCGAUUCAAUCAAUUUUGAUUGGAUUAGAUUGGUUUGAUCGGUUGUUCGGUUUUCAAUUGCACCUUUACUUUGACCAUUGAUGUCAAUUUUCAAGUAUGGUAGAUCUGAAGUGAUUUCUCAUAGUAUGUCUUUUGGUAAAGGGAAAAGAGCAAAAAUCUCCUCCAACAUAAUUAUGGCUACAUAAUCUUUUAUGUCACCUUGGCAUAGUGCCCCAAUGCUGUUAAAUCUAGCCAAAUCAAGAGUGACAUGAGUUCAAAAUACCUCUUACCACAGAUAGGUAAAAGUAACGAUGGCAACCACUGGAUUCAAGAUGCAUCGGGCCUACUCCGUUCAUAUGCUCUUUAUGAAAAUCUAUUUUUGUCGCAUGUGUGAGACAAGUCAAUACCCGAACCCUCUCACCCAUUUAUCUUCGUAUAAAAUCUGAUCCAUCAGGGGCAGAUUUGGGCGAAAUUCCCAUUUUUUUAAAAUUCAUUUCCUGAUUUUGUUGCCACUCUCCGAUACCCAAUCUUAUCUCACUCUGCCAUGUUCCUCUACCUCAAAACUCUCGUCACCUUACGACCUAACAUAAAUGGCCCUCGGCAAUUAAGUAGCCUUACAUAAACAAAGAAAAAAAUAUGUUUGGAUGAUGAGAAAUUACGGAUUUUUGAAUUUAUAUUCUUGGAAUGCACACUUGGUGUAUGUUUUCUCUUUGGAAACGUUCUGUAAAUUUGGGUCUAUGGGUGGAACUACAAGAUUUGGGCCUGCAGAAUUCACAAGGAAAUUUGCAAAUUAAAGAUGAUGGUUCUACUAAAUUUAGGUCCACUGAUCAGUUCCACAAUUUGGGCCAGCUCAAUGUUGAUUUUAGGUUGUUAUGGGCCGGAAAAAUUGGUGGCCCAGAUCAAGUAUGUGUUUGAAAUCCUUGGCUCUGCCUUAAUCACACUGGUUAUGGCAUUGGAGUCCUCAUGAGUUUGGAUAAGGCCAAUGGCCCACGAUCAGGCCCAUCAAUGCUGGGCCACUUGCACUGUGGGCUCAGGCCCAUAUGAAGCAAAGAAUCACCCUAAAGCUGGCUCAUUAGUGGGUCCAACACAGCCCAUCUUAGCCCACCCAUCACCAGUGAUUUCACCUCACAGCCAUGUCUGAAUUCUCCCGACUAGUUCUUCAUAUGAUGCAAUGAAACUCGGUGUUUCUAUAAAAGCAUGGGGCCAGCCAUUAAUCCGACAUAGUUUUAAAGCUGUGAGAGUCAUGGGUCCAAAGAAAUGUGUGGAAUUUGGUCACCCAAGAAUCACAUGGACUACAAUAGGGACAUCUGCUCGAGACUUAUAACCGAUAUGAAUCAUCUGAUAUAUGUGCAUACAAAAGUGAAUCAAAACAACUAUUUUGCACACCUAGAGAUUGUAAUUGAAGUAAAAUUUCCAUUUCUUGAUAGAAAGUUGAGGACAACCCAUCUGCAUAGGAAAGUGAAUUAGUACCCUCUUCUUACAUGGGAAAAUGAUACUUUUGUUGAAUGAAUGCUCUCUCACCUGGUUGUGGGGUUUUGUAAGUAAAAUAUUGCCUGAGUAAAGCUGAAGACUGGACUAGUGUUCCACAACAAGUGUAAAGGCCUUGUUUGAAUGCCUAGUCUGAGACCCAUAGUUCAAUAGCUUGUACACAGCUAGGAGAUAUGGAUAAAGCUACUACCAUGAGGUCCUGAGCUUCCCAAAUCCAACAGUCCAAAAACUUUGAAAAGUUUUUCCAAAGUCCUGGUCAAGUUGUACACACAGAUCAAUUAUUCAUGGAAAGUUGUGGCCAUAAAGUUGUUGUUUUCCUCUAUCUAUUGCUCUCAAAUCAUGGGUUAAAAGUAAAGCAAAGUAACAAGUGUUCUACUUUAUAUUUACAAAGUCAAAAAGAUCCAAAUUCCCAAAAGGCACUUCUCCACACAAACCAUUCACACAAAGCCCUAUUCUCAAACCCUCCCCCAAAGUCUCAACAGCAAUGAAGAUAGGGGUGAGAAAGUUUGAUGACUCCCAAGGAUGUGUAAUAUAAUGCCAUGUAUUAAUAGUAAAUAACAAAGAAAGAGAAAACAAAAAAAAAAAACUGACAUUUGCUUCCUAGAUUCCUAGCCAGCUUUUUGGACAUGAAGAUUGAACAGUGAUUCAAAAUCAGAGGUGGGAUCAUCACAGCCCAUUAAUAUCCAUUUCAUGGCUUGAAGAGCCAUCCAUGUCUGACCUUGUAUGCUGACGUGCUUCAAACGUGUAAAGAAGAAUGGAGAGAUAAGAGAGAGAGUGAUUGAGGCUAUGGGUGUAGAGGCCUGGUGACUCUUCCCUUAGCUGUCUUUACAAUCAACUGUUUUCUCUGCAUAGUUUUGACGAGUACUCUUUCUGAGCUCCCAUGAAAAAAGCAAAGUAAAGGGAAAGUGAGAUGGGAAAGAAACACAGACAGACACCAAAAAUCAGAACCCCAUUUUAUUACCUCUUGGGUUCAUCAAUAAUUCCCUAUAAAGUGUAGUUUAAGAUAACAUAUGAAGAAAUUCAACAUCUUCUAAUUGUGGGUUUACCCAUUGAAGCUUGUGGGUAAUUCACCUGCAAAAUGCUCCUCAGAAACAACCCAAUUAGAAUCACACUAUUGAACUCCAUGAAAGGUGGGAGCUUUGGUGAAAGCCUUGGGAAGAUUUCUACCUAAUAUUUUAUGAGUAAACCAUGGAUGAGCCAAGCUAGGGUUUUAGAUGAGAAGAAAAUAAAGCCAUGACCAGUGGUCUGCCUCGGACACGCACCCAACAAUUUGAAAGCAGGUUUUACUGCCUUAACUCUACUGCUCAAAUCUAUGGUAUACAUGUAUGUUACAGAAAAUAAAAAGAUCUAACAUAAGACAAAACAUCCCUAUACAACAUUAUUGAACCCAAACCCUAAUGCAAUAAUAGAAUGAGAAAAUCAAAUUUGCAAAAAUAUUAUUCAAUCACAAACCCCAAAAUCAUUAAUGCAGAUCCUUCUAAUCUUUACCCAUGCAAAGCUUACAAUUGGAUGAUGGAUCAGAAACCUGGAUCAGAAUUCUAACAAAAAAGAAAAAAAAAAUGCUUAGAUGAAAGUGAAACAAAAGGGGACGGAGAUUACAAUGCUUCACAAACCUGCCCACCAUAAAGAUGAGAAAAGGUAAAGGAUACAUCCAAAAGAUAAAUCAGAGAUGAGUUGAGUUCAAAAUGAAAGACAAGACAAUCGAUAUGAUAUUACAGGACUGUAACAAGCAAUGACAUUGCAGGGUAGUACUUCUCUGAUGGGUAUUCUAGCUUAGUGUAGAUAGACAUUUAAGAUCCAGUGAUUCUGAAAUCAAAAGCCCAAUCUGCACCAUGAAGUAACCAGAAAGAAGAAGAAGAGGAGGAGGAGGAGGAGGAGGAGGAACGGUGAAAAACAAGAAGAGGAGGAUGUGGUUUUGAGUUUAAAAAAGGUUGGGUUUCAAACCCAGAUCUGAAAGUAGCAGAAACAGACAGAUCAGAUACUGAAAGCCAUCAUGAGCAACAUCUGCCUAAUGAUGAACCAGAAAAGGGGCUAUGACUGACAAAAACACCAUGAUGAGAAAAAGAAAAGAAAAAUAAAAAGGAGUCAUGAUGAAAUACUUUUAUGCAGCUGAUCAAGCAAAUGUAUAAUAGUCAAAAUCCUUCAUCAUUACACCAAUCUGCACAUCCCUAACAACCUUAAUUUCUCUAAAACCUAAAACCCUACCAUUGUAAACCCCCUCUUGCUCCCAAAAACCGCAGGAAAAAAAUCACUUCACCAUUACACCAGUCUCCUCCUCAGCAAGAACCAAAUCAAUUUGCCUGAAAAUCAAAAACCCAUUACUCAAAACCCCCAAUAAUUCCCAAAAAUGGACAAAGGUAACAAACCCGUUAGCAACUGCACGUGGAACCCAAGAUCAAGCCCGAGAAAAGCUCUCCAUGGAAGCGAUAAUUGGGGGGAAUGAAGCCUGGUCCGACGACACCAACACAUGCUCAGUACAAAUAAAAAUACAAUAAUACAUAUAUAUAGGUGAUAUGGAUCUAGAGAAACGGAUCAAAGUUAAGGUAAGUGUCCUCGAGCCAGACAACAUUCCCCUCAAAAUAGAAGCUCCAUGGCCUCCAAUCUUCACCCCGUCAAAGCCUUAGCCUUUUGUGUGUUUCUCCCCAACUCUCUCCUCUCUUCUCCCUUUUAUCCCCCCUAGACUCUCGCCUUUCUUCAAGGGGGAUGAGGAGAGAGAAUUAUAGAGAUAGAAAGAGAGAUGUGUGUGUUGUGAUCAUGAUGAAGAGAAUGAUUUGGGGGUUAUAAGAAGAGUAAAAAAGAGUUGAAGGCCAACGUAAAACAAGAAGACAAAACCAAUAGCCCCAGACCCAGACCCUACCAUUUGGGUUCCAGAAAUGACCACGACCCCAUGCACCCUCUUUCUCUCUCUGAAUCUCCACCCUCCAUUCCGUGUACCCUCUGUAUCCACUUGUACCAUAAACCCAAAACCCACCGUUUUGGACCUUUGGAUCAAUAGGGUGUAGAGUGAUCCAAUGUUGCGG